GACGAACGCUGGCGGCGUGCCUAAUACAUGCAAGUAGAACGCUGAAGGAGGAGCUUGCUUCUCCGGAUGAGUUGCGAACGGGUGAGUAACGCGUAGGUAACCUGCCUGGUAGCGGGGGAUAACUAUUGGAAACGAUAGCUAAUACCGCAUAAUAGUAGAUGUUGCAUGACAUUUACUUAAAAGGUGCAAUUGCAUCACUACCAGAUGGACCUGCGUUGUAUUAGCUAGUUGGUGGGGUAACGGCUCACCAAGGCGACGAUACAUAGCCGACCUGAGAGGGUGAUCGGCCACACUGGGACUGAGACACGGCCCAGACUCCUACGGGAGGCAGCAGUAGGGAAUCUUCGGCAAUGGACGGAAGUCUGACCGAGCAACGCCGCGUGAGUGAAGAAGGUUUUCGGAUCGUAAAGCUCUGUUGUAAGAGAAGAACGAGUGUGGGAGUGGAAAGUUCACACUGUGGCGGUAUCUUACCAGAAAGGGACGGCUAACUACGUGCCAGCAGCCGCGGUAAUACGUAGGUCCCGAGCGUUGUCCGGAUUUAUUGGGCGUAAAGCGAGCGCAGGCGGUUAGAUAAGUCUGAAGUUAAAGGCUGUGGCUUAACCAUAGUACGCUUUGGAAACUGUUUAACUUGAGUGCAAGAGGGGAGAGUGGAAUUCCAUGUGUAGCGGUGAAAUGCGUAGAUAUAUGGAGGAACACCGGUGGCGAAAGCGGCUCUCUGGCUUGUAACUGACGCUGAGGCUCGAAAGCGCGGGGAGCAAACAGG
rnacentral:rRNA from 1 species